CACCGCGCCCCCGCCCCGGUCCAAGCCGCUACCAGAUGGAGACGACUGGGACAUAUGGGUCCCGGCGGGCCGCUUCUGCUCCAGUGCGCGCGCGGAGCUCACGGCGCCCCCGCCCCGGUCCGAGCUGCUACCAGGGAGAAGGCUGUUACACUUAUCAGCGCUGGUCGGGCCACUGGGGAUGAUCGGGGCAGCAUCUCCACCGGAUUGAAAAAAGGCCAACGUCCGAGUGCGCCCAGUGCAGUCAGCAGUGACACCGAAUGUCCAACAGGCCGCUGCCUGGUCUGCGGCGAAGCAGCAGACAAUUAGGCGCACGUGUUGCUGGAGUGUCCGUGCUUUUACGGCCUCCGGCUCCGUGCGCGGGGAAACAUCGUCGGCGCGGCCCACGAUGUCGAACGCGACGACAUGGUGGCGAUCUUGGUCGCCGGCUACGAGGCCCACAAGAGCCUUGUUUUGGCUACGGCGGCAGCUUUGGGGACACCACAACAGCUGACGGCGGCCGCGGCCCCAGAGAUGCGCACCUGCGGGCAGGGCGGCCGCUGAUCUACAUCUCAGCUGAUUAUACUGAACAGACGGAGGAGACUGAGGCGCUGGACAACGAGUCUGUCUCUGGCCGUACUGAAGACGCUGCAUCGGAAGACCGUCAGUUCUGGUUGGGAAUCUGGCUGCUCUGACUCCGUCCAGCUGGCCGACGAGUGCGUGCCAAGACAGCCGCCGCCGCCGCCGCGCGCGCGCCAAGACGGCCGUCUACCGGCGCCGAUGCCGCCACGCGCACGCUAGACGCCCGUCCACUGGUGCCACCGCCCCACGCGCGCGCACAGUCGGCAGCCGCCGCGUGUGCGUGCCCGCCCAGAAUAUGCGCUCUGCCGCCGUUGACUGCGGCUCGAGAUUCAUGUUCAAGGUUUAGGCAUACACUCAUGUUAAUUGUCUACAUUCAUGAAGGUGCGUGGUGACAAAGAUGCCUCGUCUGUGGCAGCGGAUUUGCUUGUUCCGCCUCAACAUGUGCAAAGUUGUUAUGUAAACUGAUGCGCUCGGCAUUCGCCGUCCGCUCGCGCUGGUGGCGCGCGAACGAAUGACCUGGCCCUGUUCAUGGCUCAUGCGGACCUGACGAGCGGCGGUAUGACGCAAUCACAUAGACGGAUUACCUUUCACCGCGAAGAAAAUCAUUAUCAGCUGGCUUAAAAUUAUGCAAUUGUUUGCCCUCAGUUCGCCAGGUAAUAUCAUUCUUUGAUCAUUCAUGCUGACUUGCGAGGCUGAUAUUUGAUAAUAUAUAGUGUGAAGCGUUCCAUUUUUUUCUUAUUUCAAAACUCAUCUGUGUAUCUCGCAACAAUAAUCAACCGAGUCUUUUCUGUUCUGCAGAAUUUGGAAGCUGAGCGAGACUUAAGCAAUACAUUUGAAUAAUUC